UGGUAUUUAGUUUAAUAAAAACAAAUGAUUUCGACUCAUUAAAUUAUGGUUAAACCCAUAAAUACCGU
rnacentral:tRNA from 1 species